CUAUGUGUAGUUGCCUGUCAGCAUUCGUUGUAUAUAGCUUCACGGUCAGUGGUUAUUCUUCAUUAAAAUAAGUAUGUACGGAUACCACGCUGCGCCUUGGUCUCAUCAAUACGAUGAACGUGACAUUUGGACCUAACUGAAUUGCCUGAGAAACUGUUUCUAGUGUAGAGAUUUGUCGCAAGUUCUAUCUAGGAUCCUUGGGACUACCCUAAACCCUAACCCCUACCCUUAUCCUAACCUUAACCCUUAGUUAGCCCUAACCUUAAACCUUACCUUAACCCUUACCUUAACCAUUUUAAAUGUAAUCUUCAAUAGGGUAGGGACGUCCCAAGCAUUCCAGACAGCAUGAACCUUUGUGAUUAACAACGAGAGCCAUUGGUAUCGUCUGCUUUCCAUUCACUGUGUGAGCGACUACAUUCCACUGUUCUCCACUGUCGACAGAAAAACGUUCAAGAAUUAAGAGCAGGGGGACACUACAGAUGGAGGAGUGAACAGGACGAUCCAGACACUACAGAUGGAGGAGUGAACAGGACGAUCCAGACACUACAGAUGGAGGAGUGAACAGGACGAUCCAGACACUACAGAUGGAGGAGUGAACAGGACGAUCCAGACACUACAGAUGGAGUAGUGAACAGGACGAUCCAGACACUACAGAUGGAGGAGUGAACAGGACGAUCCAGACACUACAGAUGGAGGAGUGAACAGGACGAUCCAGACACUACAGAUGGAGGAGUGAACAGGACGAUCCAGACACUACAGAUGGAGGAGUGAACAGGACGAUCCAGACACUACAGAUGGAGUGGUGAACAGGACGAUCCAGACACUACAGAUGGAGGAGUGAACAGGACGAUCCAGACACUACAGAUGGAGGAGUGAACAGGACGAUCCAGACACUACAGAUGGAGGAGUGAACAGGACGAUCCAGAAGUUCUAUAAUAUCCUCCAAUAUUCUUUAUGGGCAACUUGUUUUGAUAUUUUGGGUGUUAUACCAUUUGGUUUACAGUAACUUAAAGGAUUUGGGCAUUAUUUCUGAAGCAUCCUGUCGUAGGCCAUACCACUCCCAUUGUUUCACUAUCAGCGAUGCUAAUGGUGGCAUGUUUGGUGAGUAAAUAAAGAAAACUAAGCCAUAUUUUUUGUCAAUAUAUUCAAUACCCCCCAAAAAGGUUGUUGUAGUUAGUUGCAAAAAAUGGUUUAUUAUUAUUAUGACUGGUAAUGUUUGUACUGAUUAAAUACUUCUUGAUAUUUUCCAACGAAAACCUGCACCACGCUGUAAACUCUCAAU